CGGAGUCGCCGGCGGCAGCAGCAGUUCAAGGAACGAACGCGUGAGGCAGAUGUGAUCUGAUUUCGUGACGGCUAGGGUAGGCGAUCGCGUGCUUAUAAAGACGGCUGGGUGGAAGAGUCCGAGUCGGUAACGAUCACGAUCCGACGUCUCGGAUCGUUUCCUUGUCCGUUACGUAUUCUCCGUUCCUGACCGGCAAAAAUAAGCGCGUAGGUAUGAGCUCGGCUCGGCUCAUUCCCGCAACCCGCGGCGCGUCGUGACGAGGCGUGGCGUGGCGAGGCGGGCGGCGGAGGAGGAGAGCGCGAGGGCACCUUCUCUUCUCACUCUCCAAUAGCAUGUGGAAGAGAGACCCUUAUAA
rnacentral:lncRNA from 1 species